GACGAACGCUGGCGGCGUGCUUAACACAUGCAAGUCGAACGGUAAGGCCCUUCGGGGUACACGAGUGGCGAACGGGUGAGUAACACGUGGGUGAUCUGUCCUGCACUUCGGGAUAAGCCUGGGAAACUGGGUCUAAUACCGGAUAGGACCACUGCCUGCAUGGGUGGGGGUGGAAAGCUUUUGCGGUGUGGGAUGGGCCCGCGGCCAAUCAGCUUGUUGGUGGGGUGAUGGCCUACCAAGGCGACGACGGGUAGCCGGCCUGAGAGGGUGACCGGCCACACUGGGACUGAGAUACGGCCCAGACUCCUAUGGGAGGCAGCAGUGGGGAAUAUUGCACAAUGGGCGCAAGCCUGAUGCAGCGACGCCGCGUGAGGGAUGACGGCCUUCGGGUUGUAAACCUAUUUCAGCACCGACGAAGCGCAAGUGACGGUAGGUGCAGAAGAAGGACCGGCCAACUACGUGCCAGCCGCCGCGGUAA
rnacentral:rRNA from 1 species